rnacentral:rRNA from 1 species
UACGUAGGGGGCUAGCGUUGUCCGGAAUCAUUGGGCGUAAAGCGCGCGUAGGCGGCCAGAUAAGUCCGGUGUGAAAGUCACAGGCUCAACCUGUGAAUGCCGCUGGAAACUGUCUGGCUUGAGUCCGGAAGGGGCGAGUGGAAUUCCUGGUGUAGCGGUGAAAUGCGCAGAUAUCAGGAGGAACACCAAUGGCGAAGGCAGCUCGCUGGAACGGUACUGACGCUGAGGCGCGAAGGCGUGGGGAGCGAACAGG